rnacentral:lncRNA from 1 species
AUGUCUUCCCAGUGCCACCUACAAACUUCCAGCUGGAACAGUUACCUGAACAGAAGGCAGCUGAGAGCCUGUAGCACAAUGUGUUCACCUGGCAGAGAGCUGAUCUUGGAGCCGUUUCUCUGUUCCCUCCCAUCAGACUUCAGUUUCCUGACUCUGAAGGAUUGUUUCUUUUGGAUGCUUCAAAGCUUUGAGCAGUGUAACAAGAGCAGUAGUCUUCAUCUGCUAGUGUGGAACCAAAACUGGCAAUCUUACGCACGUUGUUCUGGAGUGGCAUGUCAUGUCACGGAGCUUCACAGAUGCUCACGAGAACACCGGUUACCAGGCAGACGUGUUGUCAGUGAACUGCAUUUCCAAAUAAUGUUUAUGCCAAAAGAAAGCUAUCAGGUUCACAACAUAUGUGAGGGGUUGAAUGUUUAAAGAUGGGCCACUCUGGCUUCUUUUCUUGCUUCACUGAGAGAGAACUACUCUUCUUCACUUGAAAAGGCAGAUACAGCUCUCUCUAACCUUACCAGAUUUUCUCCAAGCUGAUGCAGCUGCUAAAGUCAUCUGUGGGGGAAGCAAGGCAAAUGAAGGUGGAUGAGCAAUUAUCCCACCCCUGAUCUGAUGAGAGGGAGCAGGGUUGGCAUGCUGGAGACAGAUAUUAAACCAGAGAGCUGCAGCAUCAUAAAGGCAGUAUGAGGCUGCUCUUCCAACAUGGGUAGCUACUUUUGUUUCCCCAGUUUAGGUGCUAGUGCAGCAGAAGCAUUUCCAAGCAAGGCUUACUGGGAAAGAGAAAGUCUCCAUCUUUUGCCCUCCUGGUUCUCUUUCAUCAGAGAGCACUAAUUUGGACAUAAAAUGGAAAUCUUUGUGCAUCCAGAAUUUUGCCCAGCAGGCAGGAUAAAAGUAAAUAAAACACAAAACAAAACAAACCAGAAGCAAAACCAGUCUGUAAGGUGACAGAUCUUUUUAUUGCUUGCAUCAGUUUCCAGACACUCUCUCCCCACUCUUAUAAAUCUCCUUAACUGAUCAGUCAAUUUUAUUGUGAUUUUAGCAGUCUCACCUGCCUUAAAGUACUUACCUGUGCCAAAUAGGCUUCGUGUAUAGGACCAUGUCAUCCAUCUCAUUGGAUACCAAAGUCAACUUUGAAAGGCCCUUAGGAGUUCCAAAAGGAAAUAGCAUUAUUAUAGCACUGGCUAUUUGAUACCAUUUUAUGCAGUCCUAGCUUAAUUCAAGCACAAAUUAACUUGAUCUCAUUGAAAGUGACUUAUAGAAUUGUGAUGUAUUGAUGAAUUAAUCUAUAAUUUUAAUUUAUAAUGUGGACGCAUUUUAAUUUAAAAAAUCCCCCCAAAACCUAGCACAUCAGAAUUCCUC